AUUGAACGCUGGCGGCGUGCCUUACACAUGCAAGUCGAACGGCAGCACGGGUGCUUGCACCUGGUGGCGAGUGGCGAACGGGUGAGUAAUACAUCGGAACGUACCUUAUCGUGGGGGAUAACGCAGCGAAAGCUGUGCUAAUACCGCAUACGCCCUGAGGGGGAAAGCGGGGGAUCGAAAGACCUCGCGCGAUUAGAGCGGCCGAUGCCUGAUUAGCUUGUUGGUGGGGUAAAAGCCCACCAAGGCGACGAUCAGUAGCUGGUCUGAGAGGACGAUAAGCCACACUGGGACUGAGACACGGCCCAGACUCCUACGGGAGGCAGCAGUGGGGAAUUUUGGACAAUGGGGGCAACCCUGAUCCAGCAAUGCCGCGUGAGUGAAGAAGGCCUUCGGGUUGUAAAGCUCUUUUGUCAGGGAAGAAACACCGGCUCUAACACAGUCCGGGAAUGACGGUACCUGAGGAAUAAGCACCGGCUAACUACGUGCCAGCCGCCGCCGUAA
rnacentral:rRNA from 1 species